CGGGAGUGGAUCGAGUUGCCACCAACCACCAGGUCGCAGCUGGCAAGCUACAACUGGCAAAGCAGAUACAAAGGUUGUAUCUAAUAAUGAUACAAAUAAGGUUCAACCUAUAAAAUUUGGCUAGCCAUAAUAAGUAUGAUUAUAAGAACAUACUUUGAUUGUAUGCAGCAUCAACAAGAUAAGAUUAUUUACAAAAUAAGAUAAUACCAGGGACACAAAAAGGUCAUUCCUAGAUGUUCCGGACAAUCUAAUAGUUGGAAAAAACAAAGUGAGAACCAUACUACAAUAUAAACUGGUUACCUUUUUUCUUAGCAAAAAACAGACAUGACAUUAGAAACCAAACUAGACGUAUCUAUUUCUAUGUAGUGAUCAUGGGAGAGGUCCAGCUCAGAAGCAACUCCACAUCCAGUUGAUGAGCAACCUGGUCCUGCAUGUACACGGAACAAAAAAUUGUUUAUUUCCUUCAGAUAUGCACCGCAAGUAGCAACCGAAACACUAUUGAACUGCAAGGAACACAAGAUAAUAUCUACAAAACCUUUUCAGAAAUAAGUGACCAAGUAAAAAAAGGAAAAACAAGUGAAUGAGGUAAGUAAGAAAUCCCAACUGAGGAAGAGAAGGAGAGGCUUGCUUGAGGGAUGUGCCUGGGCCUCCAAGAACCAGUAGAAGAGUGUCCUCCCAUUCUGCUUGUUCACGGUGACAUACCCAGAGAACCGAGAGACAUGCAAACUCCUUGGCUGACCAGAGAGAAAUACCACCCUAUCAGCUUCCUACUCGCUGUAACCGGCCAAGUAGCAGCGCCAACCCUGGCAGGCAAAGACGACGCGUGACUGGACACACACGUCACUAAGCCAACAAGCACAUACACAACAAGAACCCGUGGCAAGCAAGUGCGGGGACAGGAGGAGAGUUGGGACCGGAAAGAAAUUACCAUGCUGGCGACUGGAUUUCCAGGCGAAAGCUACUCGAGGCGGCGACGGCAAAUCCAGGUAGCAGCUGCACGAGCACAUGAGAAUCACAAGAUGAAUUUCAUACGUUGGCAGUGGAAGCAAAUAUCAUAUUUGUACGUACCUGCAUUUCUUUAUCAACACUACACAUCUCCAGAUUUUUUCCA
rnacentral:lncRNA from 1 species